CAACGCCGCGUGAGGGACGAAGGCCUCUGGGCUGUAAACCUCUUUUCUCAAGGAAGAAGACAUGACGGUACUUGAGGAAUAAGCCACGGCUAAUUCCGUGCCAGCAGCCGCGGUAAUACGGGAGUGGCAAGCGUUAUCCGGAAUUAUUGGGCGUAAAGCGUCCGCAGGCGGCCCAGAAAGUCUGUUGUUAAAAAGUGGAGCUCAACUCCAUCCAGGCAAUGGAAACUACUGGGCUAGAGUGUGGUAGGGGCAGAGGGAAUUCCCGGUGUAGCGGUGAAAUGCGUAGAUAU
rnacentral:rRNA from 1 species